rnacentral:rRNA from 1 species
UACGUAGGCAGCGAGCGUUGUUCGGAGUUACUGGGCGUAAGGAGUGCGUAGGCGGUGCUCUAAGUUUGGUGUGAAAUCUCCCGGCUCAACUGGGAGGGUGCGCCGAAAACUGGAAUGCUCGAGUAUGGGAGAGGGUAAGCGGAAUUCCUGGUGUAGCGGUGAAAUGCGUAGAUAUCAGGGAGGAACACCUGCGGUGUAGACGGCUUACUGGACCAUGACUGACGCUGAGGCACGAAAGCGUGGGGAGCAAACAGG